AAAGGUGUUAAAUUCCAUGACAGUUAAAAAAAAUAUUGUGCUAUUUACUUGUCAUUUUUUCUUUCUCUCUUUCCUUCUUUCCUUCUUUGUUGAAAUAGUCUAUUUUCUCUGAUGGAGUCUCGGCUUUCGUUAGCCCAGAGGGUGAGUCUCUCUUUACCUCCAGGUUUGUUUCUUGAUGACUCCUUGCAUAGAUCGACAAGCGGUUUUCUGUAUGCGUGCCAACAUGGCUUGUUUGUUCUCUAAGCCUUUUCAAUUAUGAAUUGCUCUACUUUGAUUUUUCUGAUACCAUUUGUUACUCCUCUUGAAUUGGUUCUUUUAUUUGGGUUUCAUAUCCAUGAUCAACACCUCCUCACCUGCCUUUUUUAUUGUUUAGUGCUUGUUUUAAAAAUCUUCUAAGUUACUCUUGACAAUCUCUUUAUCGUUGAUUGGUUUUUCGCGAGUUUUCUGAGAUGGUCGACGGUGACGUGUUGGAAGGCGUCAAAAGUUUCUUCAGUUGACUAGCAUCUUUAGGGUUAUAUUAGUUUUUGGGCCUUUUUAGAUCUCUUAAGUGUUUUUUUUGGCUUGUUGUGAUGUAAUACAUCUCUAUUAAUAGAGAUCUUUAAC